GCUUGCUUUGAAACAGCAAAGCGGGAGAAGAGCCGCUGAGUGGGGAGGAGAGAGGGACAGAAAGCCUGCUUGCUUUAAAGGAGCAAAGCAGGAGAGGAGAGGAGCCGCUUACGCUCGUGUUGGCUCCUUUAAAGCAAGCAGGCUCUCUGUCCCUCUCUCCUCCCCACUCAGCUGGCUAAAUAGCAGCAAAGUUUUUCAGUGAG